rnacentral:siRNA from 1 species
GACACACUUCAAUCAGGAUGCUGC